rnacentral:rRNA from 1 species
AACGUAGGGGACGAGCGUUAUCCGGAUUUACUGGGCGUAAAGCGCACGUAGGUGGUCCGCUAAGUUGGCCGUGAAAGCUCCUGGCUUAACUGGGAGAGGUCGGUCAAAACUGCCGGGCUGGAAGGUGACAGAGGAGCGUAGAAUUCCCGGUGUAGUGGUGGAAUGCGUAGAUAUCGGGAGGAAUACCAGUGGCGAAGGCGGCGCUCUGGGUCACUCUUGACACUGAGGUGCGAAAGCGUGGGGAGCGAACGGG